rnacentral:rRNA from 1 species
AGCGAACGCUGGCGGCAGGCCUAACACAUGCAAGUCGAACGAACCUUUCGGGGUUAGUGGCGGACGGGUGAGUAACACGUGGGAACGUGCCUUUAGGUUCGGAAUAACUCAGGGAAACUUGUGCUAAUACCGAAUGUGCCCUUCGGGGGAAAGAUUAAUCGUAUUUAGAGCGGCCCGCGUCCGGUUAGCUUGUUGGGUGAGGGAAUGGCUCACCAAGGCGACGAUGAGUAGCUGGUCUGAGCGGAUGAUCAGCCACAUUGGAACUGAGACAGGGUCCAGACUCCGACGGGAGGCAGCAGUGGGGAAUAUUGGACAAUGGGCGCAAGCCUGAUCCAGCCAUACCGCGUGGGUGAAGAAGACCUUCGGGUUGUAAAGCCCUUUUGUUGGGAAAGAAAAGCAGCAGGUUAAUACCCCGCUGUUCUGACGGUACCCAAAGAAUAAGCACCGGCUAACUUCGUG